CGACCGACGACAGCGACGGCGGCGGCGACGACAACGUGUUUUAGGAGGACCAGAUGGGAAAGGGGAGGGUGGCUAGGGUUAGGGUUAAUGAAACCCUAAUUCUAAGUAUAUGUAUUAAUACAUGAUUAUUUACCCUCAAAUCUCCCAAAUCAUAAAUUUCGUGGCACAAAACCCUCUCAAACAACUUUCUCUCGCAGAACAGUCCCCGCCCGUGGGUUAUCUC
rnacentral:lncRNA from 1 species